GACGAACGCUGGCGGCGUGCUUAACACAUGCAAGUCGAACGGAAAGGCCCUGCUUUUGUGGGGUGCUCGAGUGGCGAACGGGUGAGUAACACGUGAGUAACCUGCCCUUGACUUUGGGAUAACUUCAGGAAACUGGGGCUAAUACCGGAUAGGAGCUCCUGCUGCAUGGUGGGGGUUGGAAAGUUUCGGCGGUUGGGGAUGGACUCGCGGCUUAUCAGCUUGUUGGUUGGGUAGUGGCUUACCAAGGCUUUGACGGGUAGCCGGCCUGAGAGGGUGACCGGCCACAUUGGGACUGAGAUACGGCCCAGACUCCUACGGGAGGCAGCAGUGGGGAAUAUUGCACAAUGGGCGGAAGCCUGCUGCAGCAACGCCGCGUGCGGGAUGAAGGCCUUCGGGUUGUAAACCGCUUUCGCCUGUGACGAAGCGUGAGUGACGGUAAUGGGUAAAGAAGCACCGGCUAACUACGUG
rnacentral:rRNA from 1 species